rnacentral:rRNA from 1 species
AGCAGCCGCGGUAAUUCCAGCUCCAAUAGCGUAUAUUAAAGUUGUUGCAGUUAAAAAGCUCGUAGUUGAAUUUCGGGAUCAAUAUGUCGGUCGUGCCUCCGGUACGUACUGGCAUCAUUGAUUUCUCCCUUCUGACGAACCAUGAUGUCAUUAAUUUGGUGUCAUGGGGAGUCAGGACUGUUACUUUGAAAAAAUUAGAGUGUUUAAAGCAGGCUCACGCUUGAAUACAUUAGCAUGGAAUAAUGAAAUAGGACGUUUGACCCUAUUUUGUUGGUUUCUAGGAUCAACGUAAUGAUUAAUAGGGAUAGUUGGGGGCAUUAGUAUUCAAUUGUCAGAGGUGAAAUUCUUGGAUUUAUUGAAGACUAACUACUGCGAAAGCAUUUGCCAAGGAUGUUUUCAUUAAUCAAGAACGAAAGUUAGGGGAUCGAAGACGAUCAGAUACCGUCGUAG